UGGGUAGUAUCUGUAAGAACUACACCGCUGAAUGCAAGUACUGCAGAUUAAUUGAAAUUUAUACUGCCUUGAUCCAUAAAACGGACUAGGACAGGGGA
rfam:Bacillus azotoformans LMG 9581 contig48, whole genome shotgun sequence.